rnacentral:rRNA from 1 species
GUAUGAAUGGCCACACGAGGGCUUUACUGUCUCUUACUUCCAAUCCGUGAAAUUGACCUUCCCGUGAAGAGGCGGGAAUAUGACAAUAAGACGAGAAGACCCUAUGGAGCUUUAAUUAACCGACCCAAAGAGAUCUUGAUAAUCAACCGACAGGGAUAACAUACCUCUACCAUGGGCCGACAAUUUAGGUUGGGGUGACCUCGGAGAAUAAAACAACCUCCGAGUGAUUUAAAUCUAGACUAACUAGUCGAAAGUACUACAUCACUUAUUGAUCCAAAAACUUGAUCAACGGAACAAGUUACCCUAGGGAUAACAGCGCAAUCCUAUUUUAGAGUCCAUAUCGACAAUAGGGUUUACGACCUCGAUGUUGGA